rnacentral:lncRNA from 1 species
AGACUGUGUCCUGAAGAUGAAGUUUCCUGUUCACCUCUUGGUGCUGCUGUUUUUGUGGAUUCCUGCUUCCACAGGUGAUGUUGUGAUGACACAAACUCCAGUCUCCCUGUCUGUAAGCCUUGGAAAUCAAGCCUCUAUCUCUUGUAGGUCUAGUCAGAGCCUUUUCCAUAGUGAUGGAAACACAUAUUUGUCAUGGUACCUCCAGAAGCCCGGCCAGUCUCCACAGCUCCUCAUCUACUUGGCUUCCAACCGAUUUUCUGGGGUCUCAAACAGGUUCAGUGGAAGUGGGUCAGGGACAGAUUUCACACUCAAGAUCAGCAGAGUAGAGCCUGAGGAUUUGGGAGUUUAUUACUGCUUCCAACAUACACAUUUACCUCCCACAGUGAUUUAUACCCAACAAAAAUCUACUUGCUUAGAGUGGCCCAGCUGCUAAUAUGAUACUCAUCUUUGUGAAAGACAUGCAAAACAACUCCAGGUCAUUGUUUGCCGCUGUGGUCCUUGAGCAUGACUGCCUUCAUAACAUGUUAUGAGUGAAGUUCUGACCUCCUCAGUUGCAAUUACGAUAUUGGAUCUUCCUCAGGAGAAAGGUAAACGACUGCCAUCUGAGCA